CGUGCGCAGGCGGUUAUAUAAGACAGAUGUGAAAUCCCCGGGCUCAACCUGGGAACUGCAUCCAAAACUGGCAAGCUAGAGUAUGGUAGAGGGUGGUGGAAUUUCCUGUGUAGCGGUGAAAUGCGUAGAUAUAGGAAGGAACACCAGUGGCGAAGGCGACCACCUGGACUGAUACUGACACUGAGGUGCGAAAGCGUGGGGAGCAAACAGGAUUAGAUACCCU
rnacentral:rRNA from 1 species